rnacentral:rRNA from 1 species
UCUUAGCUUGCUAAGGCCGAUGGCGACCGGCGCACGGGUGAGUAACGCGUAUCCCCCUUGCCUUACACUCUUGGACAGCCUUCUGAAAGGGAGAUUACUACAAGAUGUUAUCAUGAGUAAGCAUUUUCACAUGAUUAAAGGUUUACCGGUGUAAGAUGGGGAUGCGUUCCAUUAGAUAGUAGGCGGGGUAACGGCCCACCUAGUCUUCGAUGGAUAGGGGUUCUGAGAGGAAGGUCCCCCACAUUGGAACUGAGACACGGUCCAAACUCCUACGGGAGGCAGCAGUGAGGAAUAUUGGUCAAUGGACGAGAGUCUGAACCAGCCAAGUAGCGUGAAGGAUGAAGGUUCUAUGGAUUGUAAACUUCUUUUAUACGGGAAUAAACGGAUCCACGUGUGGAUUUUUGCAUGUACCGUAUGAAUAAGGAUCGGCUAACUCCGUGCCAGCAGCCGCGGUAAUACGGAGGAUCCGAGCGUUAUCCGGAUUUAUUGGGUUUAAAGGGAGCGUAGAUGGGUUGUUAAGUCAGUUGUGAAAGUUUGCGGCUCAACCGUAAAAUUGCAAUUGAUACUGGCAGUCUUGAGUACAGUUGAGGUAGGCGGAAUUCGUGGUGUAGCGGUGAAAUGCUUAGAUAUCACGAAGAACUCCGAUUG